rnacentral:rRNA from 1 species
UACGGAGGGUGCAAACGUUGCUCGGAAUCAUUGGGCGUAAAGCGCACGUAGGCGGCCUGUUAAGUCGGGUGUGAAAUCCCUGGGCUCAACCCAGGAAGUGCACUCGAAACUGGCAGGCUUGAGUACUGAAGAGGGUCGCGGAAUUCCCGGUGUAGAGGUGAAAUUCGUAGAUAUCGGGAGGAACACCAGUGGCGAAGGCGGCGACCUGGGCAGAUACUGACACUGAGGUGCGAAAGCGUGGGGAGCAAACAGG